UACGUAGGGGGCAAGCGUUGUCCGGAAUUAUUGGGCGUAAAGAGCUCGUAGGCGGUUUGUCGCGUCUUCCGUGAAAACUGGGGGCUUAACUUCCAGCUUGCGGUGGAUACGGGCUGACUGGAGUGCGGCAGGGGAGACUGGAAUUCCUGGUGUAGCGGUGAAAUGCGCAGAUAUCAGGAGGAACACCGGUGGCGAAGGCGGGUCUCUGGGCCGUUACUGACGCUGAGGAGCGAAAGCGUGGGGAGCGAACAGG
rnacentral:rRNA from 1 species